UACCCGCAGCACAAGUGGUGGUCAUUAUUAUUGGGCCUAAAGCGUCCGUAGCUGGCCUGUUAGAUGCCUGGGUAAAUCGAUGCGCUCAACGUAUCGAACUCCGGGUAGACCGGCAGGCUUGGGACCGGGAGGGAUGUGAGCUACUCGAGGGGUAGGGGUAAAAUCCUGUAAUCCUUCGGGGAGGGCCAGUGGCGAAGGCGUCACAUUAGAACGGCUCCGACAGUGAGGGACGAAGCCCUGGGGCGCAAACCGG
rnacentral:rRNA from 1 species